UUCUUAGCUCAGUCAGUAGAGCAUGAGACUUAAUCUCAGGGUUGUAGGUUUGAGCCCCACGUUGGGCAAAA